rnacentral:rRNA from 1 species
UUUUUUAAUGAUACGGCGACCACCGAGAUCUACACUCUUUCCCUACACGACGCUCUUCCGAUCUGAUCCAUGCAUAUCCGAAUGGGGCAACCCACCAUCAGUCAUGUGAUGGUACGAAAGAGGCAGACCUGGGGAACUGAAACAUCUAAGUACCCAGAGGAAAAGUAAUCAAUUGAGAUUCCCUAAGUAGCGGCGAGCGAAAGGGGAAGAGCCCAAACCAUGAAACUUCGGUUUUGUGGGGUUGAGGACCGGCAAAAAGAGGAAACUUCUUAGUCGAAUGGUUUGGAAAGGCCAUGCACAGAAGGUAAAACACCUGUAGGCGAAAAGAAGUCAAUCGGGCUGGUAUCCAGAGUACUGCGAGACACGUGAAACCUUGCAGGAAGCAGGGGGGACCACCCUCCAAGGCAAAAUACUACUUGGCGACCGAUAGCGCAUAGUACCGUGAGGGAAAGGUGAAAAGAACCCCGGGAGGGGAGUGAAAUAGAACCUGAAACCGUAUGUCUACAAGCAGUCGAAGCACCUUAAGAGUGCGACGGCGUGCCUAUUGAAGAAUGAACCGGCGAGUUACAUUAUGUUGCGAGGUUAAGUGGGAGACACGGAGCCGAAGCGAAAGCGAGUCUUAAUAGGGCGACUAGUAACAUGGUGUAGACCCGAAACCGCAGUGAUCUAUCCAUGGUCAGGUUGAAGCGCAGGUAAAAAUGCGUGGAGGACCGAACCCGUGAGUGUUGAAAAACUUUGGGAUGAACCGUGGAUAGGGGUGAAAUGCCAAUCGAACGCGGAGAUAGCUGGUACUCCCCGAAAUAGCUUUAGGGCUAGCCUCAGGGAAGAUUAUAGACGGUAGAGCACUGAUCUGGCAAGGGGGCGUAAAGCCUACCGACCCUAGUCAAACUUCGAAUGGCUAUAAUUAAGACCCUGGGAGUCAGACUGCGAGUGAUAAGACCCGUAGUCAAGAGGGAAACAGCCCAGACCGCCGACUAAGGUCCCCAAUGCUGUACUAAGUGGAAAAGGAUGUAAGACUUCAUAAACAACCAGGAUGUUGGCUUAGAAGCAGCCACCAUUAAAAGAGUGCGUAAUAGCUCACUGGUCGAGAGGCCUUGCGCCGAAGAUGUCCGGGGCUCAAGUACAGAACCGAAGUCGCGGCAGGAUUAUAUAAUUCUGGGUAGGGGAGCGUUGUAUAUCCGACUGAAGGUGUACCGGAAGGAGCGCUGGAGGAUAUACAAGAGAGAAUGCCGGUAUGAGUAGCGAAAAGAACAGUGAGAAUCUGUUCCACCGAAAGCCUAAGGUUUCCUGAGCAACGCUCGUCGACUCAGGGUAAGUCGGGACCUAAGCCGAGGCAAAAAGCAUAGGCGAUGGACAACAGGUUAAUAUUCCUGUACCGCUUCAAAUCGUUUGAGCAAUGGAGUGACACAGAAGGUAGCUUGAGCACGCGAAUGGAUGUGCGUGUCGAAGGUGGUAGGUUGCAGUAUAGGUAAAUCCGUACUGUAUAAGACCGAGAACUGAUAGAUAGACGAUACUUCGGUAAAGUCAAAUUCAAGUGAGCCAUGCUGUCGAGAAAAGCUUCUAGUGAGAGAUGAGGCGCCCGUACCGAAACCGACACAGGUAGGCGGGGAGAGAAUCCUAAGGUGCGCGGGACAACCCUCGUUAAGGAACUCGGCAAAUUGUAUCCGUAACUUAGGGAUAAGGAUAGCCGGAGGAUGUGAAGGGAUUUACUUCUGGAGCGUCAGCCGGUGGCACAAGAGAGGCCCAAGCGACUGUUUAGCACAAACACAGGUGCCUGCAAAAGAGAAAUCUGACGUAUAGGUGCUGACACCUGCCCGGUGCUGGAAGGUUAAGAGGAGGGCUUAGAGGAAACUCGAAGGCUUGAAUUGAAGCCCCAGUAAACGGCGGCCGUAACUAUAACGGUCCUAAGGUAGCGAAAUUCCUUGUCGGGU